UACGGGGGGAGCAAGCGUUGUUCGGAUUUACUGGGCGUAAAGGGCGUGUAGGCGGUCGUGACAAGUCACUUGUGAAAUCUCCGGGCUUAACUCGGAACGGUCAAGUGAUACUGUCGGACUAGAGUACAGAAGGGGCAACUGGAAUUCUCGGUGUAGCGGUGAAAUGCGUAGAUAUCGAGAGGAACACCUGCGGCGAAGGCGGGUUGCUGGGCUGAUACUGACGCUGAGGAGCGAAAGCGUGGGGAGCGAACAGG
rnacentral:rRNA from 1 species